UUUCUUUUUUUCUUUUUCUAAUGUUGGUCUUGCUUAAUGUUCCCAUUUGAAAAGUGUAUCUAUGGAAAUGGAUAGAUGUUUUAAGAUCAUUGUAGUGCUUUGUGCUUAAAUAGACUAGCACAUGUAGACCUAGGAAGAUAACAAACUAUGUUCUUUUUCUUCCCCUUUUUUUUCUCUCUCUCUCAUUUGGUUUGUUUUUAAUUCACUUG
rnacentral:misc_RNA from 1 species